AAACUUCAAAAAACCUCCCUGUGAUUUCGUAGUUUCUCAUUUUGCCCCCCUGUGAUUUAAAAUAUCUCAAAUUACCCCCCUGUGGUUUCGUUUUUAUCUUUUCAGUAGCUUUUUCGUUAAUAUUUCAUUAAAUUAUAUACAAAAAACUUCAGAUAUCCACCUAGAUUUAUCAAAUAUUCACUUUAGUACCAUUUAAUUUUAACAUUAUCACUAAUUUAAGAAAAAAAUAAUGAAAUUGAUAAAAAAAAAAGAGAAAAAAAAACCACAGGAGGGUAAAUUGAUACAUUUUAAACUAUAGGGGGGCAAAGUGAGAAACUACGAAACCACAGAGGGGGUUUU
rnacentral:lncRNA from 1 species